UACGAAGGGGGCUAGCGUUGCUCGGAAUCACUGGGCGUAAAGGGUGCGUAGGCGGGUCUUUAAGUCAGGGGUGAAAUCCUGGAGCUCAACUCCAGAACUGCCUUUGAUACUGAAGAUCUUGAGUCCGGGAGAGGUGAGUGGAACUGCGAGUGUAGAGGUGAAAUUCGUAGAUAUUCGCAAGAACACCAGUGGCGAAGGCGG
rnacentral:rRNA from 1 species